rnacentral:rRNA from 1 species
GACGAACGCUGGCGGCGUGCUUAACACAUGCAAGUCGAGCGGUAAGGCCCUUUCGGGGGUACACGAGCGGCGAACGGGUGAGUAACACGUGGGUGACCUGCCCUCAGCUCUGGGAUAAGCCUGGGAAACUGGGUCUAAUACUGGAUAUGACUCCACGGUGCAUGUCGUGGGGUGGAAAGCCUUGUGCGGCUGAGGAUGGGCCCGCGGCCUAUCAGCUUGUUGGUGGGGUGAUGGCCUACCAAGGCGACGACGGGUAGCCGGCCUGAGAGGGCGACCGGCCACACUGGGACUGAGACACGGCCCAGACUCCUACGGGAGGCAGCAGUGGGGAAUCUUGCGCAAUGGGCGAAAGCCUGACGCAGCGACGCCGCGUGAGGAUGACGG